rnacentral:rRNA from 1 species
GUAGGUGGCAAGCGUUGUCCGGAAUUAUUGGGCGUAAAGUGCGCGCAGGCGGUUCUUUAAGUCUGAUGUGAAAGCCCACGGCUCAACCGUGGAGGGUCAUUGGAAACUGGAGAACUUGAGUACAGAAGAGGAAAGCGGAAUUCCACGUGUAGCGGUGAAAUGCGUAGAGAUGUGGAGGAACACCAGUGGCGAAGGCGGCUUUCUGGUCUGUAACUGACGCUGAGGCGCGAAAGCGUGGGGAGCAAACAGGGAUUAGAUACCCUGGUAGUCCACGCCGUAAACGAUGAGUGCUAAGUGUUAGGGGGUUUCCGCCCCCUUAGUGCUGCAGCUAACGCAUUAAGCACUCCGCCUGGGGAGUACGGCCGCAAGGCUG